rnacentral:rRNA from 1 species
GACGAACGCUGGCGGCGUGCUUAACACAUGCAAGUCGAACGGUGAACCUGCUUCGGUGGGGGAUCAGUGGCGCACGGGUGAGUAACACGUGGGCAACCUGCCCUCAGCUCUGGGAUAACUCCAAGAAAUUGGGGCUAAUACUGGAUAUGACCGCUGACCGCAUGGUCUGGUGGUGGAAAGAUUUAUCGGCUGGGGAUGGGCCCGCGGCCUAUCAGCUUGUUGGUGGGGUAGUGGCCUACCAAGGCGACGACGGGUAGCCGGCCUGAGAGGGUGACCGGCCACACUGGGACUGAGACACGGCCCAGACUCCUACGGGAGGCAGCAGUGGGGAAUAUUGCGCAAUGGGCGAAAGCCUGACGCAGCGACGCCGCGUGGGGGAUGACGGCCUUCGGGUUGUAAACCUCUUUCAGCAGGGACGAAGCGAAAGCGACGGUACCUGCAGAAGAAGCACCGGCCAACUACGU